UCAAGAUCAGAAAACAAAAUUAUAUAAAAACCAAAGAAAAUAUCUAGUAACAACGCAAUAAUUCAUUUAGGCUCCCAAAAGCAAAACAACACACCUGUUCAUACAGAGACAAGGACCAAUAUAACGGGACUAGUACAGGAUUCGUACAUAAUUAAAUGGCCAAGACAUACUCUAUGCAGGUUCCUCCAUCAGUAUAUUGGAAUUUAGCAUUAAAUUGGAGACUAUCAGAUGGAAUAAUCUCGCCAAUCUCAAAAAGACUUCAUGUGAAUGAUCCGUUGCAUGUCAAAACGUACAAGGUCAGUAUAGUCAGCACUCAGCAAACUGAUACUUUCAGUCACUUAUCUGAUAUCUAAUAUCCCAGGGCAUACUUUGAACUACAAUCCAAAAGAAAGGUUGACGCAGAAGGCAUUGUAACUUGUAAGGCAAUACUGUUGAUGAGCACUCUUCGAAGCCCAUUAUCUUUGAGGUUGGAUGUGGGUGUUGUGUUGACUCUUCUCAACUAUAUCUUCUAUCAAAAGCCUAACAAGUAACAGUAUCAAUACUCAAAGCAACAUCUAUCAACUCAAAAAACUUUACAAGAGCUAAAACAAAGGAAACAUAAACAACAAUUGAAUAUGAAAGGUACUGAAUAUCAUAAGAUAUUUUUCCAAAAACACUCUAGGCAGUAGGCAUAUUAUGAAUAGUACCACACAACUAAAACAAAGUUAACUUUAUUGUUUAUUUUAGAAAAUGAACAAUAGAGUACCUAAAUUAUGAAUGAAAGCCACAAAAACCGUGGCCUCUUUGUGGGUUUGUAGUUUCAUAUGUUUCCAAUUUUUAAUGGAUAGUCCUUCUCUUCAAGAAUAAGUCACUUACUAAACAAAUGACGUAUCAACUAAAGCAAAUCACAAGAUCAACCACAAUGAAUAAUGUACCUUUGUUUGGAAGUCCGUUUUAAUUGAAUGCAUAAUUUACUGCGGACCCCUGUAAUCGAUGAUGUCAACUUCUGCAGAUGGUGAGUUUUGAAGCAAGAAGUUUACUACCCCCUUAGGUAUGAUUACAAACGGUUCAUCUGCUUCUUUGAGAAGUAUCUUGUGAGCUUCUUUAAGCGACUUGUAUUUAAACACAACUUCUUUCCUUACAUAAGAUGAUAAUCCAAGAGGGCGUGGUUUCAGUUCUACUUUCAGUGACUUCAAGUUACGCAAGGAAGGGAGUUUAACCUUGAAUAAAUCAGGAUCUAAGGAAAGAAUCUACGCAAUUAGGGAGGAUUAAGAUUAGUUUGAUGUAAGCCACUUGAUUUUUGACAAUAUUUGGAAAUUGUUUUUUUUUUAUAAAAAAACAGUAUCUUACUAAGAAAGUAAACAUGAAACCUCAAAACAUGGCUAGUUCAGGUACCUGAAGAGUAUAUGCAUUGACGGUCAAUGAUUUUAUAUUAUCAAGGUCUUGAAUAAAAUCAAAUAAGGCUCCCCAAUUCUUGAAAAUAUGUCUACAAGAAUAUUUACUUGUUUAACUGAAGAAAGACUGCUUCCACACGACCACACAGUCUCUGCUUAGGAGUACCGUAAAAAGUAAUUGUACGAAGACUUGGAGCAGAUAGCUCGAUUUUGGUAAAGUCGGACGAGCUAUUACUACGCACAGUUAAAUGUAUGGUUAUCCCUUACACUACAUCUAGAAAUGAUCAAAUUAUUCGGUAUGUUGAAAGAUGAAAAUGGUUCGGCAUGAUCAGCAUUGCCAUUUGCGCAAAAGGAGAAAUUAGAUAGAUCCAAGCUAGUCAAUGCUGGCAAAUUUAGAUACUUCAGAAAUAAUGUUUUUUCAUCAUUAUAAGGACCAUUAGGGUAAACACAAAGCUUAAGAGACGUAAGUCCCUGACAUGACAAAAUGCGGGGAAAAAUGAUACCUUGCUCUUGCUCUCUUGGUGUUGGGUGGAAUCAUUGAGAACACGAAUUUGAGAAAAAAUAAAUAAAAUCUCAGCAAAGUCAUGGUAGAUUACAAUUGAAAAAAAAGAAAAGUUGAGAAAAUACCGUGAAAUUGAAAUUGAAAUUAACGUACUUUUGAAAAGAACGGUAGAGAAGGUUUACCGAGAGUUGGGGUCAUACAGCAAGUUUUGUAUUUCUAGGGUUCUUAUUUUUAUUUUUUUGCUCGGAGGAAAAAUGUGUUAAGUUUGCGAUGUGAACAACAAGUAACUAAAAUUAAAGUUGUUUAAUAAUUUUUACUUAAAAAAAAAAGUUUUUUUUUUUUACAUACUUAAAAAAAAAGUUUAAAAGUUGUUUUUAAUUAUAGUUUUGAAUUCUCGCGCGUCUUAUUUUUACUUAUCCGCUACUACAAUUGCGAGCCUUAUUUUUACUCGUUCGCUGCUUAAUGGGAACAAGCAUAGUUCACAUCACAAUCUCUUUGAGGGUCCGUUGAGGUAUAAAACUGCAUGUACGUUUAAAAUCGAGAGUAUGCAGUGCAGUUGAGGUAUCAAGAAGAGUUAAAAUCUUAGUCACAAACAUGCCUAGUUUCUUUGCGGUGGUAAAUUCUGAGGAAUGCAAUAUAAGGGUAGGAUUAUAUUUCCAAAGAUUCUUCCAUCUUGGUUGACAGACACCGCGUCUGUCUUUGUCUACUAUAUAAAUUUAUGUUAAAAAAUUAAAAAAAUGUCCUAUGUUAUAGUGAAUUUUUUAAUUAGAGAUCCCAGCCUAAACCAAUUAGCUAAGAGCAGGUGAGUAGAGCUGUUAAAGGGGCUGGCCUGGUCUGGCCCGGCCCCGAGGGCCCGAACAUUUAAAGGGCCCAGCCGGUCAUGCCCGGGUUGAUAAACAAAAGCCUACAUGGUCCGAUGGACCGGCCCGUUUAAAUUUUUAUUUUUUUAGCAAUUUUUUUUUUAAAUGUAUGAAUGACACACAAAUUAGUAUCCAUAACACAAAAUGGGUAUCAUGAUUUCACAAGAUAAUAAAUAAUGCAAAAUAUCCACGCAAAAAUCAAGAAAUAAUAAAUUCACAAAGUGCACCCUCAAAUCUAAUAAAUUUCAAGCUUACAAUCCUUCAAUUGGGAUUUAUGACUUAACAAUGGAGGAUUCGUCUUCGUCUUGUUCAAAAAAACAAUGGAGGAUUCAUUUGGGUUUAGUCAAAAUUAUAUGAUAAACUAUAACUUGAAUUGAUUCUAAAUAUGUUUGCCUUUAAAUAAGCUUACAAUAGAAAAACAAACGUAAAAAAGAUAAUAACUAACUUAUUUUAAAUUUAUGAUCUUUUAAAUUUAAAAGAUAAUUAUCCUACUAAUAACAAACUUAAAGGGUCAAAAUAUCUUUUUGUUUCAAAAUCAAAAUUUCAGUUUAUUUUUUUUCAAUAUUUUUUUUAAAAAUUCUUUAAGGGGCAGGCCCAAAAGCCCGUGGGCUGGUCCAUGACGGCCCAUGAAAAAGCCUGACCUGAUAAGGCCCAACCCGCAAUUUGUGAAGCCCUACCCGUGUAAAUAUAUAGGGCUAAUAGGCCGGCCCGUUAGCCCCACCCAUUUUGACAGCUCUACAGGUGUGCCGUCAGAUCAAAAGGAUCAUGUAGCAUAGGUAUAGAAUAGAUAUAAUAAAGUUAAAAGAUAUGUUUGAUAAUAUAUUAUAUAUUUUUUUAAGUAUAGAAACUGUUUUUUUUCUUCUUAAUAGAGCUUUUAAAAAUUGUUGUUUAGCCUAACUUCUUACUUAUAUGAAAAAAGAAGAGGAAAAAAGUUAGGUUAAAUAGUACCUAAGGACCACACAAAUUAGUGUUAAUGGAUUGGACAAAAAUAAAGAUUUUUAUUUUCUACCGAACUAUGAGAGACAAUUUUUUGUCUUCUCACAAGUUGUCUAAGAUACCAAAAUAACUUUUUUAUACAUCGAUCAUCGUAGAAGAUAAAAUUUAUUCAAUACCUUAAUAACAUGUGUCAUGUGUUGUUCCGUUUUGUACUGUUAUGUAUUGUUCUGUUUUGUACUGUUAUGUAUUGUUCCGUAAGAAAGUUGUUUUAUAAGUAUUAGAGAAAACAACACUCGUGGCAAGCAAUUCUUAUAAAUAUUUUGCACAAAGACUUUUUUUUUUUGGCUUUCACCACCAGUUUAAUCUGGUUCGGGGGUCGGUUCUGGCAUCAAGUGGUUCCAGCCCCCUCCCGAUCGUAGUUGCAGGGAUCGAACCGUGGUCCUCCCAACCAAGUUCAGCAUCAAUUACCACUGAACCAACUAACGAUUAAAACAAAGGAAACUCAAAAUGAAUAAAAGGAACAAUAGCGUGCCUAAAUCAGACUAGAACGACUUGUAAGCAAAGUAACAUACAUCCCUGCAACUCGCAAUAUGUGAACAAAAGCCACUAAACCUUUGGCUUCUUUGCUGGUGUGAAGCUUACAUUGCUUCCUAUUUUUAACCGAUAAUUUUUCUCUUCAAGGACGAUUCUUCGACCGAGCAAAUCACAUGAUCAACUAUAAAGAAUAAUAAUUAGUUAAGAUAAACUUUUCAGCAAGAACUUCCUACAAUCUUUUUGCUUUGAAAUAAUUACCACGACUAUAAAUUUUUUAAAUAACUACCUAAGGUAGGCGGCAACAGAAGGUUUCAGAGUUUAAUUCAAGUACAUGAUCUAUGAUAACUUCUAUUGACGGCGAGUUUUGAAGCAAGAAGUCCACUAUUCCAUCAGGCAUGCUUAAAGAUGAUUGAUAUGAACAAAUUUGGAAUCUAAGGUAAAGAAAUAGUAAAAUAUAGAAUGGAUGUUGGAAGCAACACACUGUUAUAUUGAUUAUCCUAUAGAAUCAAGGUGAUUCUAUGGUAGAAUUUCAUCAGUCAUUGAUUUCAUCAGUACUUAAUUCAGUGACUUCAACUUACACAAGGAAUAAAACUCCAUCGAUAAAUAUGAAACAAGGGAGAGAACCUGAGCAAUGAAGUGUGAGGAUGAGUUAGGUUCAGUUUAACACAAGUCAAAAUAUUUUAGACAAAAUGUAGAAAUAAAAAAACACAUCUUAAGAAGAAAGUUUAUUAAGCCAGUAGAGUAAAGCCAAAGAGAAAUAAAGCAAUCUCCUGAUACAUGCUCGCUGUGCAAUGAUGACAAUAGUUGCAAAAACACCAUUAUUUUCAGGUUCAGGGACUGCAUUCUGAAGUAGAAUUAUAUUUUUAUUAGAAUAUUUCUAAGAGAAAUUGACUUAUAUAAAUAAUCUCUUGUUCUCAUUCUCAUAUUGAUAUAUAUAUCUAAAUGCAAUUUUAUAUGUAGUUUCUGGAAUGCAAAGUUAUUAUGGAUAAUAACUUUCCAUAACUUUUUGGUUUGGUCUUAUUAUCAAUUUAACAAUACAUAAGCUGUAUAUUCUUGGCUCUUGAGUAAUUAGAUACAUUUUUUGUUCUAAUGCAAAUGUUGGGGAAAAAAAAAACUACUUUUUAUCAAUCAAAUAGGAAAUCAAUAAAAAAAAUCAGUAGUCUAAUGUAUAUCAUCACAUCUAUUCGUAUAUGGAUUUUGCAUGUCUAUAUGCAUCAAAUCUGAUUAUUCAACCAUUGUUGUUAGUUGAGUAGCGGUAGUAGUUUUUAAGUCAGUUCAGAAACAAUUUACAAGUUGAAAACUAGUUCAGAACCAAAACUAAACUAACCAUUUUUGUGUUUAAAACAGUUUGGUUCAAAAGUUUUAAAACCGAUGCAGAGAACCAAAGAAUCAGUUCAGUUUGGUGAACAGUAAAACCGAUUCAAUUUGGUUCAGCUGAAAUGGUUUCCAAUUCGGUUCAGUUUUCUCUGGUGAAUCAAACCAUGACCACUCCUAGUUUGACAGGCAAUUAUGACCGUCGAAUAUCUCAUAACAUGUCUUCCAAAAUGACUUAAUGCAUAUUUCAAAAAUACUCAAGCAACUAAAACAACAAAAUGAACUAAAAUGAACAAUAUAGAGCCUAACCUUUGGCUUCUUUGCCGGUUUGAAACAAGAAGUCCACUAUUUCAUAAGGCAUAUGCUUAAAGAUGAUUUGAUCAGUACUUUCAGUGACUUCAACGUACACAAGGAAUAAAUCUUAAGGUACCUGAAUAGUACCUUAAGGCUAAAGAGCUGUUCUGAUGACAUGUAAAAGCAUCGAUGUUUACUUGUUUAACAGAAGAAAGACCGAUACUGCAUAGUUUAUAUGAAGGGGUGGAGCAGAUAACUGAAGUUUGGAAAUGAGUAUGAAACUAUCAUGCAUGGUUAAAUUGACGAACGUCGCAUUUGAUUUUGCUAGUUGCGAGAGAUUGAACCGCGGUCCUCCCAACUAAGUUCAGCGCCAAUCACCACUGAACGAACCAACAAUUGAAAAUUUUUGGUUAAACUUUGUUUAUCUUGUGAACAAACUCUAGAUUUUCGGGAUUCCCUAGGAACUAGAAUAUUAAUACCAAAAGAAAUAAUAAAUAAUUACUAAAUUUUUUUUUUUGAGAAAAUAAAUAAUUACUAAAUGUUUUCACAUAAAUGAUUCCGUGAGCAUAAUUUGAUUGGUAGUGACAUUGCACGUAAAAUGCAGGGAUCAGAGUUUGAACCUUGAUACUCCCACUAUUUCACCUUAAAAAGUGAAAUUCUAGUCACUAAAUUACUUGGAUAAAAAAGAAGCAAAUGAGAAAUAAUAAUAAUAAUAAUAAUAAUAAUAAUAAUAAUAAUAAUAAUAAUAAUAAUAAUAAUAAUUCAGAUUUCGAUGGGAAUCAAAUGGGAAAUGAUCCUCUCAAUUUUUUCCCUCAAUUUAUACAUCUUAACUAUGGAUAAACUUUUCUUCAUUUUUUUAUAAUUAAAAUAUUAACACAUAAUUUAUAUACAAACAUUAUUGGCAUUCUCGGUAAUGCUGAAAAGCUGUACUGCCUAAGAAAAAAGUUAUAUAUAUUAACUGUUUAAUUGAUAUGCACCGACGGUGUAAAAUACUUUUACACCAUCGUCCAAUAAAUAAUCAUUAUUUUUCCAUGUUAUGUCAAGAAAGUGGGGUGAAGUGGGAUGAUGUGGCAAAAAAUAUGAUUGGUAUUAGUUGACGAUGUAAAAUUAUUUUACACCGUCAGCGGUGCAUAUCAAUUAAAUCCUAUUAACUUUGACCCGACUUCUAUUUUUAUUAAGUAGAAAAGUUUGAAAUAAGCUGGCCCAAACAUAUAGUUUGAUGCAAGCCACUUGAUUUUUGACAAAAGUUGGAAAUAAAUAAAAAUGCAUAUUUUAAGUUAUUGUAGGCUUUAUGGUUGAUUGUUGUCAUUGUUGUAAGACAUAUUUUCAAUUUAAUACUUAUUUUAACCCACUUGGGGUUGGUCUAGUAGUGUUGGCUUAAAUCUUUAGAGUAUGCUCCUCUCAAGGUCUCAGGUUCGAUUCCUCCUGGUGCUAAUUUUGGUGGGAUAAGUUCACACAUAGAAAAAAACUAGCUUUAAAUGGGGUUCCGCAAGUGGGCGGUGGGAUUGGUCUCCUUGGAUUAGUCGGUCAUAGGACCGGAAACGAAGUUUUCAAAAAAAUUUAAUACUUAUUUUAUGAUUAGGAUGAACGAUUUUACUACACUAUUAUUUAAUAUUUAUCACGGAUGAUUUCUAAAAUAUUUACAAGAGGAAUUGGGUAACCGGCAUGAGUGAAACUUCAUAUAAGAUAUGCAAAAGGUAUAAUUUCUGUAACCAUGAUUUAACUACAAAGUUGCAAUUAAAAAAUAUGGUCAUUUACCCUUCUGUGUCGUGAAGUGCAAUCAAAUCAGUCUCUGAGUCGUAGACUCACGUUGGCUAACAGCUAGCGGUGUUAUAUAGUAAGGAUGACACAAAUUGGCAAAAGACACUUUAAACCAAGGUGAUGAGUAAACUGUGGAAAUGAUUUAAAAAGCAUAGAGAUACUUAAGCAAUAACAAUUAAUUAACAGAAUGAAUAACUUUCCUUGAGUACCACACAAUCCUUGUCAUUGAAAGAAAAUCCUUUAACCAGAAAGAGUAUCAUAUCAUGUGAGUUCAACCACUUUAUUUUGAAGUAUUUUUUGGCAAGGAGAGAAGAGAAAGACUUCAUGAUUUUCCUUUUUGUGAGAGUAUUAGAAAUUAUUAUCGCGAAAGGAUUUUGAAAAUUUUCGAAGCACUCCAAAAUCACAGCUAUAGUUUUUUAUUUCAGCCCCUCAUUCCAUCACAAACAAUAUUGGAUCAAGAAAAUGUGAAUAAAUGCAGGAUUCUCUUUUGUGUGAGUGAUGUCAACAAAAAACAUGAAUUAUCAACACCAGAAAACAGAAUUAUAUAAAAACCAAAGAAAUCAUCGAUAAAAAUAUCUAGUAACAACUAAAUGAUUCAUUUAGGCUCCCAAAAACAAAAACACAGACCUAAUGCAUGUCAAAUCGUACAACAUGAUUGAUAUAGUCAGCAUUCGGCAAACUGAUUUCAGUCACUUAUCUGAUAUCUAAUAUCCCAAGGCAUACUUUGAACUACAAUCCAAAAGAAAGGUUGACACAGAAGGCAUUGUAACUUGUAAGGUUGACGCUCUUCAAAGCCCGUUAUCUUGAGGUGGGGAACGGGUGUUGGGUUGGCUCUUCUCAACUGUAUCUUCGUUUGAUGAUGUAUCGAAAGUCAAACUAACAAUAGCAAUAGUCAAAGAAAAAUUUAUCAAUUCAAAAAAUUAACUAGAGUUAAAAUAAAGGAGAAAUAAACAAUAGUUGAAUAUGAAAGAUACUAAAUCUCAUAAAAUAAAACAAAGGAAACAUUCUAAACAGUAGGCAUACUUCAAAAGUAUCACACAACUAAAAGAAAGGAAACUUGCAAAAGUUUCCAAAUUUCAUUUUUAAUUUUAACUGGAAUAUCUCUCAGGCCUUGAAUGAUGCUUAUCAAACAGGUUACAAUAAUACAAUUCCAUUUGAUCCUUCUGAGGAUGAGUUUCUUUGGAAACAUAAUUCUGGUAUUCUGACCCUCAAAGAUGCUUAUAUUUUCCAAUCUCCUCCUCGUCAGAAGAUUCCUUGGGCUAAAUUGAUUUCAAGCUCUUCUAUCACUCCUUCUAAAUCUCUUCUUCUUUGUUGAACCUUGCAUAACAAGAUUCCUACUGAAUGCUAAUAGCUGGUGCUUUCUUGUCCCUCAGGUUAUUAUAGGGCUGACUAUUCUAGAAAUAGAUUAGUUAUUCCUUACUUUCGUUUUUUUAACCUUUAAGAGGGUUUUGGUUUGGCCCCCCUCCUUUCUCUUUUUAUUUCUCUGAUAUUUAGGGCUCCGCAGUUAUCCUGCAACCCAUCUUUUGUCUUAAAAAAAAGAGUAAACUUUAUUUUUUUUGUUAAAAAAUGAAAAAUAGAGUCUCAAAGUUAUGAAUGAAAACCACAAAAAUUGUGGCCUCUUUGCGAGUUUGAUGUUUCACUUGCUUCCUAUUUUUCAAUCGAUAAUCCUCUGCAAGAAUAAGUCACUGCCUAAAGAAAUGACAUAUCAACUAAAGAAAAUCACAAGAUCAAGUAUAAAGAAUAGUUUACCGUAGUUUGGUGGGCCAUUUCAUCCGACUGCAUACUUUCAGUGUCUUCAAGUUACACAACAAUGAAGGGAGUUUAGCCUUGAAUAAAUCAGGAACUAAGAAGAGAAUCUGAGCAAUUAGGGAGAAUUAUGAUUAGGUUGAUGCAAGUCAGUUGAUUUUUGACAAAAUUUGUUUAUGAAAUAAAAAAACAUCUUAAGAAGAAAGUAAACAUGAAACCUCAAAACAUAGCAAGUUAAUGUACCUUAAGAUUACUCGCAGUGACUGUCAAUGAUUUUGUAUUAAUAAGGUCCUGCGGCCAGCUGAAUAGAACAAAAGGAAGCUCCUCAAAUGUAUUUGAAAAUAUGUCCGCUUCAAUAUUUACUUGUUUAAUUGAAGAAAGACUGCUUCCACACAGUCUCUGAUGAGGAACACCAUCAAAAGUAAUGGUAUAAAGACUAGGAGCGAAUAACUCAAUUUUGGUAAAGUCAGAUGAAUUAUUAGACAUAGCUAAAUUGACAAGGGUUGAACUUGAUAUUCUUAGAAUCGGGGCAUCCAUUACAGUACAAUUAGAAAUGAUCAAAUUAUUUAAGCAAUUAAAUGAUGAAAAGGGUUCGGCAUGAUCAGCAAUGUCGCUAGCACAAAAUGCAAAAUAAGUUAGAUCCAAGCUAGUCAAUGCUGGCAAAUUCAGAGAUUUUGGAAAUAAUGUUCUUUUCCCAUUACUAUAAAGACCUUUAGGGUAAACACAAAGCUUAAGAGACGUAAGAGCCUGGCAUGAAGAAAUGCGAGGAAAAAUGAUACUACUAUCACCUUUAACACAGAUUCCUAAUUGCUUGAGUUGGGUAUUAUGGGAACAAGCAUAGUUUACAAUCUCUUUGAGAGUCCGUUGAGGUUCAAAACUGCCCAAACGCUCAAAAUCGAGAGUGUGCAGUGAAGGUGUGGUGGUAUCACGAAGAUUCAAAAUCUUAGUCACAAAUAUGGCUAAUUUUUUUGCAUUGGAGAAUUCUGAGGAAUGCAAUAUAANNNNNNNNNNNNNNNNNNNNNNNNNNNNNNNNNNNNNNNNNNNNNNNNNNNNNNNNNNNNNNNGGAGAACACAAUCAGGUAAGUCACUCAACCUAUCUUCAUUCUCUUCAUUAUUAUCAUGCCUCCCUCUCUUGUUGUCGGGUGGAAUCAUUUUCUCAUGCGCUAAACUAGACAUUACAACUCAGAUAACUACCGGUACCUGCACAAGCAUAAACGGAAAAAACAAUGUGGAAUCAUUUUCUGCAAUAUUAUACAACGGAUCACGAAUUUGAGUUACAAAGAGAAUCAAAUCUACGGCGAGCUUUCAAAUCUCAUCAAAGUCAUACUAGAUUGCAAUUGGGAAAAUGGAUAGGAACGGUGGAAAGAGGUGCUAGAUUGCAUACCUUGAAAUUGACGAUUUACACAUCCAAGCAAACACUUCGCUCUAUUUCGUACGGGAUAGAAACGGUGAAGUGAGGUCUACAGACUGGUUCAUAGAACCAGUUUUCUAGGGUUCCAACAAAAUGCAUUAGUUUAGACACUAAACUAUUUGACCAACAAAAAAGAAGAAUUACCAACAUUUGAUUGGUCCAUUUGCUGCCACAUCAUAUCAAAAUAUGUCAUGUAUGCAUAAUUUUAAGUAUUUGAGUCCAAUUUCAGAAAUUGAAAAAAAUGAGAGGCCAAAAUUGGGAAAUUUAAAAUGUGGGGACCAAAAUUCAGAAAUCGACAAAUAAGGGGAUCAAAACUGCAAUUAAACCAUUUGGUUCCGUUUUCUUUGGUGAAUCAAACCAUGACCACUAAUUUGACAAGCAAUUCUUAUAAAUAUUUUGCACAAAGACUCUAGGAAGCAUGCAUAUUUCAAAAUAAUCAAGCAAUUAAAACAAAGGAAACUCAAAAUGAAUUAAAAGGAACAAUAGAGUGCCUAAAUUAUGCUUUUAUUUAUAAAUCAGACUAGAACGACUUGUAAGCAAAAUAACACACAUACCUUUUGCUUCUUUGCCAGUUUGAAGCAAGAAGUCCACUAUUCCAUCAGGCAUGCUUAAAGAUGAUUUGAGAAACUUUAACUUACACCAGGAAUAAAUCUUAAGCUAUAUCAUGUGAGUUCAACCACUUUAUUUUGAAGUACAUUUUGGCUAGGAGAGAAGAGAAAGACUUCAUGAUUUUCCUUUUUGUGAGAGUAUUAGAAAUUAUUAUCGUGAAAGGAUUUUGAAAAUUUUCGAAGCACUCCAAAAUCACAGCUAAAGUUUUUAAUUUCAGCCCCUCAUUCCAUCGGAAACAAUCGCGUAUCAAGAAAAUAUGAAUAAAUGCAGGGUUCAACUUUAGUACGAGUGAGAUCAACAAAACACAUGAAUUAUCAAGAUCAGAAAACAGAAUUAUAUAAAAACCAAAGAAAAUAUCUAGUAACAACGCAAUAAUUCAUUUAGGCUCCCAAAAUCAAAACAACACACCUGUUCAUACAGAGAUAAGGACCAAUAUAACGGGACUAGUACAUGAUUCGUACAUAAUUAAAUGGCCAAGACAUACUCUAUGCAGGUUCCUCCAUCAGUAUAUUGGAAUUUAGCAUUAAAUUGGAGACUAUCAGAUGGAAUAAUCUCGCCAAUCUCAAAAAGACUUCAUGUGAAUGAUCCGUUGCAUGUCAAAUCGUACAAGGUCAGUAUAGUCAGCACUCAGCAAACUGAUACUUUCAGUCACUUAUCUGCUAUCUAAUAUCCCAGGGCAUACUUUGAACUACAAUCCAAAAGAAAGGUUGACGCAGAAGGCAUUGUAACUUGUAAGGCAAUACUGUUGAUGAGCACUCUUCGAAGCCCGUUAUCUUUGAGGUUGGAUGUGGGUGUUGUGUUGACUCUUCUCAACUAUAUCUUCAAUUGAUGAUGUAUCAAAAGCCCAACAAGUAGCUAAAUCUAUCAACUCAAAAAACUUCACAAGAGCUAAAACAAAGGAAACAUAUACAACAAUUGAAUAUGAAAGAUACUGAAUAUCAUAAGAUGUUUUUCCAAAAACACUCUAGGCAGUAGGCAUAUUAUGAAUAGUACCACACAACUAAAACAAAGUUAACUUUAUUGUUUAUUUUAGAAAAUGAACAAUAGAGUGCCUAAAUUAUGAAUGAAAGCCACAAAAACCGUGGCCUCUUUGUGGGUUUGUAGUUUCAUUUGUUUCCAAUUUUUAAUGGAUAGUCCUUCUCUUCAAGAAUAAGUCACUGACUAAGCAAAUGACGUAUCAACUAAAGCAAAUCACAAGAUCAACCACAAUGAAUAAUGUACCUUAGUUUGGAGGUCCGUUUUAACUGAAUGCAUAAUUUACUGCGGACCCCUGUAAUCGAUGAUGUCAACUUCUGCAGAUGGUGAGUUUUGAAGCAAGAAGUGUACUACCCCCUUAGGUAUGAUUACAAAUGGUUCAUCUGCUUCUUUGAGAAGUAUCUUGUAAGCUUCUUUACGCGACUUGUAUUUAAACACAACUUCUUUCCUUACAUAAGAUGAUAAUCCAAGAGUGCGUGGUUUCAGUUCUACUUUCAGUGACUUCAAGUUACGCAAGGAAGGGAGUUUAACCUUGAAUAAAUCAGGAUCUAAGGAAAGAAUCUACGCAAUUAGGGAGGAUUACGAUUAGUUUGAUGUAAGCCACUUGAUUUUUGACAGUAUUUGGAUUAUUUUUUUUUAUAAAAAAACAGUAUCUUACUAAGAAAGUAAACAUGAAACCUCAAAACAUGGCAAGUUCAGGUACCUGAAGAGUAUAUGCAUUGACGGUCAAUGAUUUUAUAUUAUCAAGGUCUUGCAGCCAGCUGAAUAAAAACAAAUAAGGCUCCCCAAUUCUUGAAAAUAUGUCUACAAGAAUAUUUACUUGUUUAACUGAAGAAAGACUGCUUCCACACAGUCUCUGCUUAGGAGUACCGUAAAAAGUAAUUGUAUGAAGACUUGGAGCGGAUAGCUCGAUUUUGGUAAAGUCGGACGAGCUAUUACUACGCACAGUUAAAUGUACAAUGGUGGCACUUGAUAUGGUUAUCCCUUACACUACAUCUAGAAAUGAUCAAAUUAUUCGGUAUGUUAAAAGAUGAAAAUGGUUCGGCAUGAUCAGCAUUGCCAUUUGCGCAAAAGGAGAAAUUAGAUAGAUCCAAGCUAGUCAAUGCUGGCAAAUUUAGAUACUUCGGAAAUAAUGUUUUUUCAUCAUUAUAAGGACUAUUAGGGUAAACACAAAGCUUAAGAGACGUAAGUCCCUGACAUGAAAAAAUGCGGGGAAAAAUGAUACUACUACUAUCAUCUGAAACGGAGAUUCCUAGUUGCUUGAGCUGGGUAUUAUGGGAACAAGCAUAGUUCACAAUCUCUUUGAGGGUCCGUUGAGGCAUAAAACUGUUUGUGAGUAUGCAGUGCAGUCGAGGUAUCCCGAAGAGUUAAAAUCUUAGUCACAAACAUGCCUAGUAAUUCCGAGGAAUGCAAUACAAUCGGGUAAGUUACUAAGUCUAUCUUCAUUAUCAUCAUGCCUUGCUCUCUUGGUGUUGUGUGGAAUCAUUGAGAACACGAAUUUGAGAAAAAAUAAAUAAAAUCUCAGCAAAGUCAUGGUAGAUUACAAUUGAAAAAAAAGAAAAGUUGAGAAAAUACCGUGAAAUUGAAAUUAACGAUUUAUGGGUCCAAGGAGUGGAAAAGAACGGUAGAGAAGGUUUACAGAGAGUUGGGGUCAUACAACCAGUUUUGUAU
rnacentral:lncRNA from 1 species